rnacentral:rRNA from 1 species
UGGGGAAUUUUGGACAAUGGGCGCAAGCCUGAUCCAGCCAUGCCGCGUGAGUGAAGAAGGCCUUCGGGUUGUAAAGCUCUUUCGGCGGGGACGAAACGGUUCGUGACAACACCACGGACUAAUGACGGUACCCGCAUAAGAAGCACCGGCUAACUACGUGCCAGCAGCCGCGGUAAUACGUAGGGACCAAGCGUUGUUCGGAUUUACUGGGCGUAAAGGGCGCGUAGGCGGCAAUUCAAGUCAUCUGUGAAAUCUCCGGGCUUAACUCGGAACGGUCAGAUGAUACUGCUUUGCUAGAGUGCAGAAGGGGCAAUCGGAAUUCUUGGUGUAGCGGUGAAAUGCGUAGAUAUCAAGAGGAACACCUGAGGUGAAGACGGGUUGCUGGGCUGACACUGACGCUGAGGCGCGAAAGCCAGGGGAGCAAACGGGAUUAGAUACCCCAGUAGUCCCUGAGCGGGCUGGCAAGGCGCAU